AUGCAAGUCGAACGCAGUAGCAAUACUGAGUGGCAGACGGGUGAGUAACAUGUGGGAAUCUGCCUUGUGGUUCAGGACAACAUUGGGAAACCGAUGCUAAUACUGGAUAAGCCCUUACGGGGAAAGUUUUAAUGCCAUAAGAUGAGCCCGCAUUUGAUUAGUUAGUUGGUGAGGUAAUGGCUCACCAAGACAAUGAUCAAUAGCUGAUCUGAGAGGAUGAUCAGCCACACUGGGACUGAGACACGGCCCAGACUCCUACGGGAGGCAGCAGUGGGGAAUCUUGCACAAUGGAGGAAACUCUGAUGCAGCGAUGCCGCGUGAGUGAAGAAGGCCUUUGGGUUGUAAAGCUCUUUUGUAGGGGAAGAUAAUGACUGUACCCUAAGAAUAAGGUCCGGCUAACUUCGUGCCAGCAGCCGCGGUAAUACGAAGGGACCUAGCGUAGUUCGGAAUUACUGGGCGUAAAGCGCGCGUAGGCCGUUGAGUUAGUUAAUUGUGAAAUCCCAAAGCUUAACUUUGGAACUGCAAUUAAAACUGCUCGACUAGAGUUUGAUAGAGGAAAGCGGAAUACAUAGUGUAGAGGUGAAAUUCGUAGAUAUUAUGUAGAACACCAGUUGCGAAGGCGGCUUUCUGGAUCAACACUGACGCUGAGGCGCGAAAGUAUGGGUAGCAAAGAGGAUUAGAUACCCUCGUAGUCCAUACCAUGAACGAUGAUUGCUAGAUGUUGGAAAUUUAUUUUCAGUAUCGCAGCUAACGCAUUAAGCAAUCCGCCUGGGGAGUACGACCGCAAGGUUAAAACUCAAAUGAAUUGACGGGGACCCGCACAAGCGGUGGAGCAUGUGGUUUAAUUCGAAGAUACGCGCAGAACCUUACCAACCCUUGACAUGUCUGUCGCGAGUUUAGGAAACUAGACUUUUCGGUUCGGCCGGACAGAACACAGGUGCUGCAUGCCUGUCGUCAGCUCGUGUCGUGAGAUGUU
rnacentral:rRNA from 1 species